rnacentral:lncRNA from 1 species
AGACGUCAUAAUUCAUGGCAGCCACUUAAACUGAACUAUUGUUCCCAGGGUUUGUACUUCACAGUCCUGGUCCCUUGGUGGUAGUUCAUUAGAGAAAAGAUAACUCAAACUCAGCCAAUCAGAUUAUCCCUCUUGUUGGAACUGAGACUGAUGGACUCUAUGUCAGCAUCAGGGCUCAUUUUUUACACAGAUGAGUUGGGAGCUGGGAGCAGCCUCUUGCAUUAUCACGUGAACCGAGACGCAGAGAAAGCCAAUCCUACAAGAAAUAAGAAUUAAACACAUCCAAGCAGAGACUAGGAAAUAGAUGAAGCACCUCUGGGUCCAUGAUGGUUUUGCCAACACUGCCUGAUGGUUUUCAC